rnacentral:rRNA from 1 species
GACGAACGCUGGCGGCGUGCCUAACACAUGCAAGUCGAACGGAACUGUUUUGAAAGAUUUCUUCGGAAUGAAUUUGAUUUAGUUUAGUGGCGGACGGGUGAGUAACGCGUGAGUAACCUGCCUUCAAGAGGGGAAUAACAUUCUGAAAAGAAUGCUAAUACCGCAUGACAUAUCGGAACCACAUGGUUUUGAUAUCAAAGAUUUUAUCGCUUGAAGAUGGACUCGCGUCCGAUUCGUUAGUUGGUGUUGUAACGGCUCACCAAGACCGCGAUCGGUAGCCGGACUGGGAGGUUGAACGGCCACGUUGGGACUGAGACACGGCCCAGACUCCUACGGGAGGCAGCAGUGGGGGAUAUUGCGCAAUGGGGGCAACCCUGACGCAGCAACGCCGCGUGAAGGAUGAAGGUUUUCGGAUUGUAAACUUCUUUUAUUAAGGACGAAAAAUGACGGUACUUAAUGAAUAAGCGCCGGCUAACUACGUG